rnacentral:rRNA from 1 species
UACGGAAGGCAGCAGUGGGGAAUAUUGCGCAAUGGGCGAAAGCCUGACGCAGCGACGCCGCGUGAGGGACGACGGCCUUCGGGUUGUAAACCUCUUUCAGCUCUGACGAAGCGAAAGUGACGGUAGGAGCAGAAGAAGCACCGGCCAACUACGUGCCAGCAGCCGCGGUAAUACGUAGGGUGCAAGCGUUGUCCGGAAUUAUUGGGCGUAAAGAGCUCGUAGGCGGUCUGUCGCGUCGAAUGUGAAAACCCCGGGGCUCAACCCCGGGCCUGCAUUCGAUACGGGCAGACUAGAGUUCGGUAGGGGAGACUGGAAUUCCUGGUGUAGCGGUGAAAUGCGCAGAUAUCAGGAGGAACACCGGUGGCGAAGGCGGGUCUCUGGGCCGAUACUGACGCUGAGGGAGCGAAAGCGUGGGGAGCGAAACAGGGAUUAGAUACC